GGGAAAAAGAAAUCUGUUGAAAUGUUAACAGAUGUUAAAGCCCAAGUGUGAGCUGGUAUUAUAUGAUGAUUUAGUAUCUCUAGGAUCCUCAGACACAGAGAGGCUCUCUGUGCCCCUCUAGUAAGUGUGCUGACCUAGUUAUUUUUCUAAAAUUGGCAGAUGCUCAUAUGUCUCCUUGAGAAACUCAGUAUCUUCUUAGGCUAUAGAAGGAUAACACAGAUUUCUGCAUAGACUAUGAGAGAACUUUUGAUUUUGCAAUAACUACCCAUUUUUCAAAUACCUUCUUUGUGCACAUAUACCUGCCAUUGUGCUCAUAGUAAUAUCUAAUAUUACUAAAUCUUUACUAAGUUUUAAGGCUUUUAUGUGCAAUCCCCCUAACAACCUGGUGAGAUAGGGUCUGUUAUUAUUCUCAUUUUUAAGAUGAAGAAACAGUGGUAUUAAAAGGCAAAUAAAUGGUAGAUCUGCCAUUAGAAUCCAGGCUAAUAUCUUUGUUCAUGCUCCUAAACUACAUGCAAAAAGGAGAAUGGCAUUUCAGAAAUGGAAUAGCAGGUUAAAAAAAAAAACCCUAAUCUGGGGAAAAAAAUGGUGAGUUCUAGAACCUAAAUGGAGAAAAAUGUCUAGAGUGCAAGACACACUGGUCUCCAUUUAAUUCCUAGAACAAGGGUAAAGUGCGUAUGCCGGUAAGAUUGGAAUGGAAACUGGGAUCAAAUAAUUCGGGGCUUUAAAGAUUAUGAUAAGGAAUUUAGAUGUUGCUCUCAGAAAAAUAGGAAACCACCAUUUCUCAAUUUUAAAAGAUGACUCAUGCAGUUAUGUGGAAAAUGGGCUGUCUGCUUCUUUUUGUAAAUAGAUUUUAUAGAAACACAGGCACAUCUGUUUGUUUACAUAUUGUCCAUGGCUGCUUUCAUGCUAUCAUGGCAGAGGUGAGUAGUAGAAAUAGAGACAGGAUGGCCCAGAAAGCCUAAACUAUUGGCUAUCUGGAACUUUGUAGGAAAAUUUGUGGACCUCAGAGGGUAGAGGAUAAAGUCGAGAGAGACCAUUUAAGAAGCUAUUUAAAUGCACACAGUGAAGAGAUAAUAGGGGGAUGGCUGCGGAGGUGAAGAGAGGACUUAUUU
rnacentral:lncRNA from 10 species